rnacentral:rRNA from 1 species
AUGAGAAGUGAAACAUCUUAUACCAUCUUCAGCAGUCCCAAUUUUCAAAGCAGUUUUUCUGCCCAAAUCAGACCACAACAUAGCCUAGACUUGCAGUUGUUUGUGCAAUUUUUCUUAGGACUCCAUCAUAGGCUGCUCCUGUUGGUCUCUUAUUAUAUGCAGAACGCUGAACCAAAGCAUGCACAUUGGUCUGCUAAAGUGGAUAUUGGAGGCCAUAAUAUCAUCUGGUCUCCAACCAUGACAAAAAUUCUCUCGUGGAGUCAUUCUGCCAUGCAGCGACAUACAAAGUAUGCUAUUAUCAUCUGGGGCCUACCAAAGCCUUCGUCUUAG